AAAACAAAAGUAGGAUAAUAAAUAAAAGUAAUGUAACAGUGUAUUUUUUGUACAAAUAUGAAAUGGUAUGUAUUAAUGUUAGGAAAAGAUGAAGAAAUGUAAUUUGAUAAAUCACACGAUUUUUCUGUGGUUAACGAUUAAUCGCAUUAUGUGCAAAAUGCAAUAUUGAGGCAUCGUGAGGAUCUAUUUUUCUUUUUACAGGCUUAACAUACAGAAUAUGAAUGUGUUUCCUUUCUUUAUGAACAGGAACCAGAAUAAACAUUAGUCUUUGAUGACGAGCAGCAUGAUGCUUAAUGCAGAAUAUGUUCAGUAGUCAGAGUCUCUGUUAGAGGAGCUGAAGGUCUAGAACAAAAAACAAAAGUAUGUCAACCGUUGAUCCUCUGAUUGGACUCUACACCCACAGUCUCCCUGACACUUCAUGUAACCAUUGACUUACAUUCAUGCUGUGAUGUCAGAAGGUGAAUCAGUUUGGUCCUGAUGAAACUAAACUAACUGACCUUCACACAAACAACGAGGGCUCAGCGUUCACCAGCUGGGCUCCCUGAGUCACACGUGUCUCUGUGGACUCACUGAUACCUUCAUGCUGCUGUUGGUCCAUGAGACACACAGGAGACAUCCAAAGAUCCAGAUGUGUCUCAGCUGGACUUCAGUCAGAACAACUCAGACUGUUUCUGUGCAAAAUCUUAAAGGAUCAAUCACUUGAAUUGUGUUUCUGGUGUAUCGUAUGUUCUGCUGAUCACUGGUCUUGUUUGAAAAGCAGAGAUAAAAAAAAUAAACAACCAGUAGAGCUGCUGUCAGUCCCAGUGCACAGUAGAGAACGAUGCUUUCCCUUUCUCUUCUCAGUCUGGUGUCACUCGAUGUCUCAGGUUCGGGUCGAUCCUUCACUGC
ensembl:lncRNA